rnacentral:rRNA from 1 species
GACGAACGCUGGCGGCGUGCUUAACACAUGCAAGUCGAACGGAAAGGCCCCUUUGGGGGUACUCGAGUGGCGAACGGGUGAGUAACACGUGAGUAACCUGCCCUUGACUUCGGGAUAACUUCAGGAAACUGGGGCUAAUACCGGAUAGGAAUCCUUGCUGCAUGGUGGGGGUUGGAAAGCUUCGGCGGUUUUGGAUGGACUCGCGGCUUAUCAGCUUGUUGGUGGGGUAGUGGCUUACCAAGGCUUUGACGGGUAGCCGGCCUGAGAGGGCGACCGGCCACACUGGGACUCAGAUACGGCCCAGACUCCUACGGGAGGCAGCAGUGGGGAAUAUUGCACAAUGGGCGGAAGCCUGAUGCAGCAACGCCGCGGGCGGGAUGACGGCCUUCGGGUUGUAAACCGCUUUCAGCAGGGGCGAAGCUUGUGGUGACGGUACCUGCAGAAGAAGCACCGGCUAACUACGUG